GUAAAAGCUAUAUUUGCAAAGAAUAUGUCUUCUUGGUACUCAACAAUAUGUGUGAUUUAAUUAUCUUCCAAAUUAUGUAAAUCAAGCAGAGUUACACAUGCAUGAAAACUAAGUUUCGAAUUUGUCAUAAUAGUACAGAACUAUGUUAAAUGAAAGCUCUCUAUAUAUCUGCAUGUUCAUAUAAAGCUAUAUAUGCAAGGAAUUUUACUUUUUCAUUAGUAGUAUAUGCAUACAUAAAAGAUGUGAUAGAUAAAACAUUAAACAAUAAAAUAUUGAAUAACCACAACAACCCAAUCAAACAAGGAAUAAAUACGUGUCGACCAAUGAUUGAACCACACAAUAAAAAACUAUAUCUAGCCGUCCCUCUCAUAAAUGCAAACAUAACAUAUCUUUAGGACAGAUCAAUCAUCGUCCACACAUUGAAAUGUGGACCUAGUGACAUCAAUCAAUCCGUGGAUAGGUGUUGCCGACGGGAUGCGCCAGUAAUGACGGAAAGGCAUUCGGAAAAUAUUUUUUUCUUUAGAAAGAACCCCAUUCCCCACGGUAAAAAAAGCUGACAACAUGAUAUAGCAUGAUAUUGUAUCCUCUCCGGGAUACGGCAGCGGCGGCCGGCCAAACCCUAAGCUAGAACAGCAGCCGUAUAUGGCAUAUCAUGAGAAAAGCAGGAAAAGAGAGAUAUGGGGUAAAGGAUUUAUGAACCAUGGUCUCUUCCCCCCUCUAUAUAUAAUGCUGCAUCCACCAGGCUAUGGUCACACACCACCAAUCAAUCAAAGCACACAGAUCUGAGCUAGCUAGCGCCCACCUUUCUUCUCCCACUCCGGCGGCACAUCUCCGCCGCCGGCCGGUCAGCCGGCAGCUAGUGGCUCUCUCGCUCCUAUGUGGCUAUGUCUGUCUACCUAAUGGUUUUCUGUUUUCUUGGUUUUGGGUGGUGGCAGUUGACAGAAGAGAGUGAGCACACAGCGGCCAGACUGCAUCGAUCUAUCAAUCUUCCCUUCGACAGGAUAGCUAGAUAGAAAGAAAGAGAGGCCGUCGGCGGCCAUGGAAGAGAGAGAGAGAGAGAGAUGAAAUGAUGAUGAUGAUACAGCUGCCGCUGCGUGCUCACUUCUCUUUCUGUCAGCUCUCCCUGCAGCAUGCACGCUGCCACAGCCACACUCUCUCCAUUAUCUAACUGCUCCUUUAAUUUCCUCUUCUCUCUCUCUCUCUCUGGACUCGCAUCGAUCUCCGAUGAGAUAAGAGCAUGCUGCUGCUGCUGCAACGCGGUGGUGAUAAAGCUAGGCAGCGCGGGACCUCGUCCUUAUCUUGUACUGCAGGUUUGGGGGUGAGCCCUAUACGUGCCAUGAGCUCUCUGACCGAGGACAAGGAGGAGGAGGGAGGAGACGGCUUUGGAGACUCUUAUUUUGGCAUGAGCUACUAUACAUGGGCUUUGCCAUAGUAGUAGUAUACUCCUUUUGCUCUUCUCUGCUUUUGCAGGUUUUUGUCUUGGUUUCCCAGAGAUCUGGGGGAGGACGACGACACUACUACAGCCAGCCAGCCUCGGGGGAAUAAGCUAGGGAGCAUCGCGCGUGACGAUUUGAUUAAUUAACCUGUAUAAAUUCGAGUGCUAAUUUGUCACGCGCGAUUAAUUAACCUCGAGUCGAUGGGUUAAUGAUGCUGCUGGUGAGAAAAUUACUAGCGGAUCCCAAGAUCUGCACGCCAUAUGGGGGAGAAAGGACGGCCAUGGCAGCGGCUAGCUAGCUGUGAUUAUUGGAGAAGGUUGAUGUACACUGCAGAUCUGGCAACCUGCGCACCUGCCCCAGAAGAGAGGAGAGCGUCAGUAUAGCGGCUGGCCCAGAUCUGGAAACUGCGCUGUAAACGUAUGUAUAUUGGUUCGUACUUGUUGGCUUCGAGUUGGAGAUCGAUCGAUCUGAUCUUAUAUGUUGCUCUCAUCGAUUGAUUUCUGUUGAUAGAAGUUUCUUGAGGUUUUCUAUUUGCCUAUUUGUUGUGUACUGAUUGUUCGAGUCUGAAAGUGGUUGCUUGAUUCUAACUAUGCCAACAUUCAUGUGCAUGAGUUUUUUUUUCCUUUUUCAAAUUUAUUUUUGAGGAAUAA